rnacentral:misc_RNA from 1 species
CUUAAGUUUAUAAAUCUAACCGAUAGGUGUCGUUGAUAAUUGUCGUCUGACUCUGACAGCUCUUGUUAUUCAUUUGUAAUCAUAUUCGGAAGAUGAUUAAAGCUAUACUUGUUUUCAAUAAUCAUGGCAAGCCUCGUUUAUCCAAAUUCUACCAGUAUUUUAAUGAAGACAUGCAGCAGCAGAUCGUUCGUGAAACUUUUCAGCUUGUCAGUAAGCGCGAUGAUAAUGUCUGCAAUUUUCUUGAAGGCGGAAGUUUGAUAGGAGGAUCUGAUUAUAAACUCAUAUACAGGCAUUAUGCCACAUUAUAUUUUGUAUUCUGUGUUGAUUCCUCAGAAUCGGAAUUGGGGAUAUUAGAUCUUAUUCAGGUAUUUGUUGAAACAUUGGAUCGCUGCUUUGAAAAUGUUUGUGAAUUGGAUUUAAUCUUCCAUGUAGAUAAGGUUCAUUACAUCUUGAAUGAAUUAGUAAUGGGUGGAAUGGUUCUGGAGACUAAUAUGUCUGAAAUUCUUAGUCGAAUAGAGGAUCAGAAUAAAUUGGAAAAAUCUGAAGCAGGGCUCAUUAGCCUGAAGAAUGUAAAUCUUCCUAAUUUACCAAACAUUCCUCAACAGAUUAAAGAUAUUAAACUACCAGAUCUACCCCAAGCUAUAAAAGACCUGAAAUUCUAAUGUAAUGGCUCUCAAUUUAUGGUUUGAAAUAUUCUGUGCGAAAUACAAUAAGAUGCACGAUGGCCAUGUAUCUAUGGUUUAAACCUUCCCGCUUUCACACAGCGCCUUCUGCUGUAUUUUCCCAUUUCGCCGCCAUCAUUCGUCGUCUGGCGAGGUGAUGCCUCUGUUCUUCUCUUAAACAACUAGCGUGCUUUACUGUUGUUGGUGAAUUUUAUAAAGUUUUCUUGCACUUUUACGAACAUGCUUCAUGUUUGAGUAAUCCUGCUUUCUCAAUAGAUUACUAUCAACAUUU